CACGAUCCAGGGCCAACACCCGCUCCAACGGUGCAGGUUCCACCAGACGUCCUGGUCCCACACUUGCGCUGU
rnacentral:tRNA from 1 species